rnacentral:rRNA from 1 species
GACGAACGCUGGCGGCGUGCUUAACACAUGCAAGUCGAACGAUGAACCCGGAGCUUGCUCCGGUGGAUUAGUGGCGAACGGGUGAGUAACACGUGAGUAACCUGCCCUUGACUCUGGGAUAACUGCGGGAAACUGUAGCUAAUACCGGAUACGACCCUCGGCGGCAUCGCCAGGGGGUGGAAAGAAUUUCGGUCAAGGAUGGACUCGCGGCCUAUCAGCUAGUUGGUGAGGUAACGGCUCACCAAAGCGACGACGGGUAACCGGCCUGAGAGGGUGACCGGUCACAGUGGGCCUGAGACACGGCCAAGGCUCCUACGGAAGGCAGCAGUGGGGAAUAUUGCCCAAUGGGCGCAAGCCUGAUGCAGCAACGCCGCGUGAGGGAUGAAGGCCUUCGGGUUGUAAACCUCUUUUAGCAGGGAAGAAGCGAAAGUGACGGUACCUGCAGAAAAAGCACCGGCUAACUACGUGCCAGCAGCCGCAGUAA